rnacentral:lncRNA from 1 species
GGUGGCAUGAUCUCGGUUCACUGCAACCUCCACCUCCCAGGUUCAAGCGAUUCUCCUGUCUCAGCCUCCCAAGUAGCUAGGACUACAGGUACAUACCACGAUGCCUGGCUAAUUUUUGUAUUUUUAGUACAGUCAAGAGUUUCACCUUGUUGUCCAGGCUGGUCUCGAACUCCUGACCUCAGGUGAUCCACCCACCAUGGCCUCCCAAAGUGCUGGGAUUACAGGCAUAAGCCACCGCACCCAGCCUGAUAUUGCACUCUUGGAUUUUGAACACUGA